UACGAAGGGGGCUAGCGUUGCUCGGAAUUACUGGGCGUAAAGAGUGUGUAGGCGGUGCUCUAAGUUUGGUGUGAAAUCUCCCGGCUCAACUGGGAGGGUGCGCCGAAAACUGGAAUGCUUGAACGUGGGAGAGGAAAGCGGAAUUCCUGGUGUAGCGGUGAAAUGCGUAGAUAUCAGGAGGAACACCUGCGGUGUAGACGGCUUUCUGGACCAUUGUUGACGCUGAGACACGAAAGCGUGGGUAGCAAACAGG
rnacentral:rRNA from 1 species